AAUAGAUACCCCGGUAGUCCACGCCGUAAACGAUGAAUACUAGGUGUAGGGGUUGUCAUGACCUCUGUGCCGCCGCUAACGCAUUAAGUAUUCCGCCUGGGGAGUACGGUCGCAAGAUUAAAACUCAAAGGAAUUGACGGGGGCCCGCACAAGCAGCGGAGCAUGUGGUUUAAUUCGAAGCAACGCGAAGAACCUUACCUAGACUUGACAUCUCCUGCAUUACCCUUAAUCGGGGAAGUUCCUUCGGGAACAGGAAGACAGGUGGUGCAUGGUUGUCGUCAGCUCGUGUCGUGAGAUGUUGGGUUAAGUCCCGCAACGAGCGCAACCCUUAUUGUUAGUUGCUACCAUUUAGUUGAGCACUCUAGCGAGACUGCCCGGGUUAACCGGGAGGAAGGUGGGGAUGACGUCAAAUCAUCAUGCCCCUUAUGUCUAGGGCUACACACGUGCUACAAUGGCAAGUACAAAGAGAAGCAAGACCGCGAGGUGGAGCAAAACUCAAAAACUUGUCUCAGUUCGGAUUGUAGGCUGAAACUCGCCUACA
rnacentral:rRNA from 1 species